AAGUCGUAACAAGGUUUCCGUAGGUGAACCUGCGGAAGGAUCAUUACUAAAUAUCCUAAUUUAUUGGCUUUAAGCCCAAUAUAUGCACUUGUGAACUUUACCGUCUCUGACAAUGCGCUUACUGUGAACGUUUAACUCGCAGGAAACGAAUUGUCGGUUGUUCUCUUCUUUUAUUUGUAUUAAUAUUAUUCUCUGGUCGUAUAUUAUUUAUGAAAGUAAAUUAACAACUUUUGACAACGGAUCUCUUGGUUCUC
rnacentral:misc_RNA from 1 species